GGAUCAGUAUGUUGGUCGUGCUUCGGUACGUACUGUCAUUACUGGUUUCUCCCUUCUGAAGAACCUUGAUGUCAUUAAUUUGGUGUCUUGGGGAAUCAGGACUGUUACUUUGAAAAAAUUAGAGUGUUUAAAGCAGGCAUACGCUUGAAUACAUUAGCAUGGAAUAAUGAAAUAGGACGUUUGAUUCUAUUUUGUUGGUUUCUAGGAUCGACGUAAUGAUUAAUAGGGAUAGUUGGG
rnacentral:rRNA from 1 species